GCAGUCGUGGUCGAGUGGUUAAGGCGAUGGUCUUGAAAACCAUUGGGUUCUUGCCGCGCAGGUUUGAAUCCUGUCGACUUGGUU
rnacentral:tRNA from 1 species